GUCGGCUGGGAACAGCAGCUAGGCCGAGCGUUCCGCACACCAGCGUUCUGCCCGCCCCGUCGCGGCUCCGGUCUUCAUUUCGUGACAGGAGCUGCAGGCUCGUGAAUCAAGUCUUGAGACGGCCUUUCUAAAGCAUUUAGUAGUUGGAGAAGAUGCCCAAGGAUUUCAGUUUGGGCCAUAAAAAAACUUACCUCUAAUAAUUAACUCUGCUGAGAUGGUUCUCAUUGUUUCUGUCAUAGAACAGUCACUAAAUUGGCUCUGUGUUAAGGAAGCCGGUUCUGCUUCAAUGGGAGGCUGGCUUCUCCAUGCCAGUUUCCUAAAAGUUAGCUAUUUCUUGCUAUUUAGGAAACAUUUAAAAGAGUCAACAUGUUGAUUCGAGCUCCCAGAAGAGUGGUUUUUAAGACUGCUGUCAGUAGUAGAGGUGAGGACAAAUGAAACAGGCAGCAGCACCCCUAACUGUGCUGUCACUGUAUCUGACAAGCAAAGUGACCAUUCCAAAGGACAAUCUUUUAUUUCAGAAUAUAAGUUGCUUAAAAGAAAUGUAAAAGUAACUUCCUUUACAAUCAGCUAAUUCAAGAGCCUCUCACCUUUAUCUAAAGCCUGUAGUACUGUAAGCAUUAAACACUGGACCACUGUUUUCAGCCUGUACUGUGCUUUGUGUGCACAGAUGUUUCCCCAGCAGUGAUUCAGCAUCUGCCUCCUGAUUACUGCCUUACUUCUCGCUGUUUUCAGAGAGAGUGCAGGUGUCCAAGUAGGAGCAUGGAAUCCCUCUAUGUAUUCAGUAUAGCUAUUGCACUUUUUCAUGUUUGCUUGCCUUCCAUCUGGGUAGAUGUCAACCACAGCUCAGAGGAAUCAUGUAGUAAGAACAGGCCAGCAAAGCAAGGGAAAAUGGAGUCAAGUUUCUCUUUCUUCAAAAUCUGUCCGCAACUAAAGAGUAA